rnacentral:rRNA from 1 species
AGUAGUUUGAUCAGUGGCUCAAGAACGAACGCUGGCGGCAGGCCUCAAACAUGCAAGUCUAGGGGGUGUAGCAAUACAUCACCGGCGGACGGGUGCGUAACGCGUGGGAAUAUACCUAUCGAUUCGGAACAACUGAGGGAAACUUCAGCUAAUACCGAAUACGUCCUAACGGAGAAAGAUUUAUCGUCGAUAGAUUAGCCCGCGUUCGAUUAGCUAGUUGGUGGGGUAACGGCCCACCAAGGCGACGAUCGAUAGCUGUUCUGAGAGGAAGAUCAGCCACACUGGGACUGAGACACGGCCCAGACUCCUACGGGAGGCAGCAGUUGGGAAUCUUGGACAAUGGGGGAAACCCUGAUCCAGCCAUGCCGCGUGAGUGAUGAAGGCCUUCGGGUUGUGAAACUCUUUCGCGCACGACGAUAAUGACGGUAGUGCGAGAAGAAGCUCCGGCUAACUUCGUG